AGCGAACGCUGGCGGCAGGCUUAACACAUGCAAGUCGAACGGGCGUAGCAAUACGUCAGUGGCAGACGGGUGAGUAACGCGUGGGAACGUACCUUUUGGUUCGGAACAACCCAGGGAAACUUGGGCUAAUACCGGAUAAGCCCUUACGGGGAAAGAUUUAUCGCCGAAAGAUCGGCCCGCGUCUGAUUAGCUAGUUGGUGAGGUAAUGGCUCACCAAGGCUACGAUCAGUAGCUGGUCUGAGAGGAUGAUCAGCCACAUUGGGACUGAGACACGGCCCAAACUCCUACGGGAGGCAGCAGUGGGGAAGUCUUGGGACAAUGGGCGGCAAGCCUGAUCCAGCCAUGCCGCGUGAGUGAUGAAGGCCUUAGGGUU
rnacentral:rRNA from 1 species